rnacentral:rRNA from 1 species
CGAGUCUUAACUGGGCGAUUAGUUGCAGGGUGUAGACCCGAAACCGAGUGAUCUAGCCAUGGGCAGGUUGAAGGUGCCGUAACAGGUACUGGAGGACCGAACCCACUAAUGUUGCAAAAUUAGGGGAUGACCUGUGGCUAGGGGUGAAAGGCCAAUCAAAACUCGGAGAUAUCUGGUUCUCCCCGAAAGCUAUUUAGGUAGCGCCUCGGACGAAUACUACUGGGGGUAGAGCACUGUUUCGACUAGGGGGUCAUCCCGACUUACCAACUCGAUGCAAACUCCGAAUACCAGUAAGUACUAUCCGGGAGACACACGGCGGGUGCUAACGUCCGUCGUGAAGAGGGAAACAACCCAGACCGCCAGCUAAGGUCCCAAAGUACUAGUUAAGUGGGAAACGAUGUGGGAAGGCUCAGACAGCUAGGAUGUUGGUCUUAGAAGCAGCCAUCAUUUAAAGAAAGACGUAAUAGCUCACUAGUCGAGUCGGCCUGCGCGGAAGA